CCCGCACAAGCAGUGGAGUAUGUGGUUUAAUUCGAAGCAACGCGAAGAACCUUACCAGGGCUUGACAUCCCUUGAAGCAGCUAGAGAUAGCUGUGUCCUUCGGGACAAGGAGACAGGUGGUGCAUGGUUGUCGUCAGCUCGUGUCGUGAGAUGUUGGGUUAAGUCCCGCAACGAGCGCAACCCUUGUCAUUAGUUGCCAUCAUUUAAUUGGGCACUCUAAUGAGACUGCCGGUGACAAACCGGAGGAAGGUGGGGAUGACGUCAAGUCCUCAUGGCCCUUAUGGGUAGGGCUUCACACGUCAUACAAUGGUCGGUACAGAGGGUUGCCAAGCCGCGAGGUGGAGCCAAUCCCUUAAAGCCGAUCGUAGUCCGGAUCGUAGUCUGCAACUCGACUACGUGAAGUCGGAAUCGCUAGUAAUCGCAGAUCAGCAUGCUGCGGUGAAUACGUUCCCGGGCCUU
rnacentral:rRNA from 1 species